rnacentral:rRNA from 1 species
GGAAGUAAAAGUCGUAACAAGGUUUCCGCAGGUGAACCUGCGGAAGGAUCAUUACUGAUUUAGCGAACCGAGCGUUAGCGAGGUUUUGCGAUCGCUUAUAUUUAAAACCCACUCUUGAACGUAUAAAAUUUUAUGUAUUAAUGGUAAAAAUAAAGAUCACUUUCAACAACGGAUCUCUUGGCUCUCGCAUCGAUGAAGAACGUAGCGAAGUGCGAUAAGUAAUGUGAAUUGCAGUAUUCCGUGAAUCACCGAAUCUUUGAACGCAAAUUGCACUUUCUGGUAUUCCGGAAAGUAUGCCUGUUUGAGGGUCAGUUAAAUAAAAAUCGGUGUUGUUGCCGCUUUCCGUGGUGACGCGUCGGAAUUGAGUCGUCUUCGGUUAAGUGACUUAAAAUUUUAUAUGAUUUUCGAACGUAUUUAAAUUUAUUUGAACGUUUGAUAUCGAAUGCUUAUUAGGUUCGGUCAUCCUCAUGACUCGCGCCUAUAAUUUUUCAUUAAAUGACCUCAAAUCAGGUAAGAAUACCCGCUGAACUUAAGCAUAUCAAUAAGCGGAGGA